CUUUUCAAGUUAUCAUAUUUUUUUCUCAUUACAUUUCACAAAUUAAUUUAUUAUAAGCCUUUUCAAGUUACCAUAUUUUUUCUCAAUAUAUUUCACAAAUUAAUUUAUUAUUUGUUACUAUUUAAUGACCCACCAUCUUUCUUUCUAAAACUGCAUCUUAUUUAGUAACUAUCACGGAACAUUAUUUCUAUUAUUUAUAUUUUUAAAAUUUCAUUCAUUCUUAAAAUUACUUCAAGUUAUAUAUACAGUAACUCCUAAAUAAUUUGAACCUAUAAUUUUGCUCUCGCAGGCGGCGGAGGCGGACGCAG
rnacentral:lncRNA from 1 species